rnacentral:rRNA from 1 species
UACGGUAAGACGUGGUGGAGGCCCGAACCCACCAGGGUUGAAAACCUGGGGGAUGACCUGUGGUUAGGGGUGAAAGGCCAAUCAAACUCCGUGAUAGCUGGUUCUCCCCGAAAUGCAUUUAGGUGCAGCGUCGUGUGUUUCUUGCCGGAGGUAGAGCACUGGAUAGGCGAUGGGCCCUACCGGGUUACUGACCUUAGCCAAACUCCGAAUGCCGGUAAGUGAGAGCGCGGCAGUGAGACUGUGGGGGAUAAGCUCCAUGGUCGAGAGGGAAACAGCCCAGAGCAUCGACUAAGGCCCCUAAGCGUACGCUAAGUGGGAAAGGAUGUGGAGUCGCAGAGACAACCAGGAGGUUGGCUUAGAAGCAGCCACCCUUGAAAGAGUGCGUAAUAGCUCACUGGUCAAGUGAUUCCGCGCCGACAAUGUAGCGGGGCUCAAGCGUACCGCCGAAGUCGUGUCAUUCCAGCAUGUACCCCCAACGGGGGCUGGGAUGGGUAGGGGAGCGUCGUGUGCCGGGUGAAGCAGCCGCGGAAGCGAGUUGUGGACGGUUCACGAGUGAGAAUGCAGGCAUGAGUAGCGAUACACACGUGAGAAACGUGUGCGCCGAUUGACUAAGGGUUCCUGGGUCAAGCUGAUCUGCCCAGGGUAAGUCGGGACCUAAGGCGAGGCCGACAGGCGUAGUCGAUGGACAACGGGUUGAUAUUCCCGUACCGGCGAAGAACCGCCCAUAUCGAACCCGGUGAUGCUAAGCGCCUGAAGCUGCGACGGUCUUCGUACCGUUGUAGUGGAGCGCGUGAACCGAUCCGGUAGUAGAUAAGCGAUGGGGUGACGCAGGAAGGUAGCUUCCGCGUGGCGAUGGUUGUCCACGUCUAAGAGUGUAGGGCGAGGUGUAGGAAAAUCCGCAUCUCAUAUAGCCUGAGACUCGACAGUGACCGCUUAUGCGGGAAGAGAGUGAUCCUAUGCUGCCAAGAAAAGCCUCUAGCGAGGUUCGAGCCGCCCGUACCCUAAACCGACUCAGGUGGUCAGGUAGAGAAUACCAAGGAGAUCGAGAGAAUCGUGGUUAAGGAACUCGGCAAAAUGCCCCCGUAACUUCGGGAGAAGGGGGGCCUGAAGCGUGAACCGACUUGCUCGGGGAGCGUGAAGGGCCGCAGAGACCAGGGAGAAGCGACUGUUUACUAAAAACACAGGUCCGUGCGAAGUCGCAAGACGAUGUAUACGGACUGACGCCUGCCCGGUGCUGGAACGUUAAGAGGACCUGUUAGCCGACUCGUCGGCGAAGCGGAGAAUUUAAGCGCCAGUAAACGGCGGUGGUAACUAUAACCAUCCUAAGGUAGCGAAAUUCCUUGUCGGGUAAGUUCCGACCUGCACGAAUGGCGUAACGACUUCCCAACUGUCUCAACCGCGAACUCGGCGAAAUUGCAUUGCGAGUAAAGAUGCUCGUUACGCGCAGCAGGACGGAAAGACCCCGGGACCUUUACUAUAGUUUGGUAUUGGUGUUUGGUUCGAUUUGUGUAGGAUAGGUGGGAGACUG